GGAUGUGAGGAAGAUCUGGUUGCAACAUCCGUCACCUCAUUAAUCGCCAGGGUAGAUUCAGCGUAUCUGGCUGGCUAGGCAGGUGUCCCCUUCCUCCUUCACAGCUCCGUAUGUUUUCCUCCUGAAGCUAUGCACUUGGUCGAAGAGGAUGGCCUUCCUUGAAUAGAGAUGGACCAGUUUUCAGUUGAGGGUAGAUGAGUAGCUGCGCUCUCCUGCCAGAACCCCCACACAAGCUCUCAAAAUGGUUAAUGAACAAGAACCAAAAAGUAGGAAUAGAGCAUAUGAGAUUAUGGAUCUUAGGGUAGAAGAAAAUUAGGAAGUUUAUUCUAGGCAU
ensembl:misc_RNA 7SK 7SK RNA